UAGGGAAUCUUCCACAAUGGACGAAAGUCUGAUGGAGCAACGCCGCGUGAGUGAAGAAGGGUUUCGGCUCGUAAAGCUCUGUUGUUAAAGAAGAACAUAUCUGAGAGUAACUGUUCAGGUAUUGACGGUAUUUAACCAGAAAGCCACGGCUAACUACGUGCCGG
rnacentral:rRNA from 1 species